CCGGACCUGUUGGACGUACCUCGCCGGGAUAUUGGGGAUCGGUUACUAGCCCGAGUGACACCGUGUUUACAGUGAGUUUCUGGAUUACUGGGAAGACAGCAGAAAUGCUACGGAAAAUGAAUAGUUUGACGAUUGGAUGAGCUGAUGAUGAUUGGUGGCAAGGCGCGUGAAUAGCAAACGACGGCCGAUAGAUAGUGUUUACACAAAAUUUCAAUUCCCUCAUGUGUAAAUUGUCGAUCACGCGGUCAUAUAAACAGUUUAGAGUUUACUCCAGUGGAAACGGUUGGUGGUAGAUAGCACGUGCAGGAAAGUGGUGUUGUUCUUUCUUUCAUGAAUUAUUAAUUAUCGUUUAACACUUGCGGAUUGUUUGAAGAGAGUGACCUCCCAAUAAAAGGGGCGGUGUAUCAAAUUAACCAUUACGUUAAUUGAAAUCCACGGUGCGAUAAAUGUGAGAAACACGCCAUCUCGACACUGUUUAUAAGUCGUAUAUACGAUUAUAAUUCGAUUUGGAUAGUGGUGUUGUCAGUGCUGGGAGUAAAAAUAAAUUGUUUUCUGUUUGAAUCCGAUCGGAAUCGAAAGAUUGAAGAAUGUAAGCCGCGGUUAAAUUCCAUAUUCCAACUCAAUACGAGUGAUUCGUACACAGUGUCAUAUACAUUGGGAAAUCGUUAAAUCAUCGUCCACACAUCUUAUAUCGCCCGACAGCGUUCGCACUUAGGAGUGGUGUCGUCGUCAGCGUGUGAUAUCAUUGAUAACCAACAACUGAACAACGUAAAUGGCCAGUACGGUGGAAACACAGAAACAUAUUGCGACAGGUGAUAAGAUUUCGGCAAAUAACGAAGAAAAGCGCCUUGUCUCGCCUAUCUGAAUUGUGGUGCCCUGUACGAUAAGGAACGUAUCUAUUGCGGAGCCAAGAAUAAGGUGUUACUUUAUUUCUGGCACAUUGGAGAGACCAACUCGACAUGACCAAGAAAACAAAUUAUCGAUGCUGGUCCUAAAAUAGAGUUAUACGUACAUAUCCAUGUUUCAAUUCUGGCAGCAGACAACACUCCAACGAAUAUUAAAAUAACAUGGCAUCAAAAUAAAACACAUGGAGUUACCAACUAAAACGAUAACGCUAGUGAUUGCUACUCUGCUCAUCGGAACGAGUCGGGGGUCGUCUGCCAAACAUUCAGAAGCAUUGAGCAUCAAUGCUGUCCGCGCGGACGACCAAACGGACGAACUGCAGCUCAACAUUUCCUGGAAUGCGAUUCCAGCCGAUGGUGGCUACAAUCUGUACGAUGUAAAGGUUUGGCAUGUUGCCACGGAUGGAUGCAUGAUUGAGCCCACACUGUUCGUAAACCAUCAUAACCUGACAUGUGCUCCUAUUCACACAGAAACGGAGAACACAUCGGUUUUGAUGCCACGAGAUCCAUUUGUGCACAAAAAACACGAGUGCGUAAUCAUGGCUCAUUGUACUUACAAUGUCAUAGUUCAGCACAUGGAUAAUGUCUUCUACUCCAGCCAAAUUUUCAAAGUCCCAGAGUGCGUCGAUCGAGUCUGUUCCUGCUACUACAAACACCUGCUACCAAGCAUAACAUCGACGAUGGUCAUUACAGGGAACCGUGUUGUGGUCAGUUGGUCACUGCAGUAUGGCAACUCCAGUGAAACCGAUUUACCGGCAGGCGUUAUUUUGGAUCACGUUGCAAUUAUAACGCGACAAUUUAGAGACAAAGCACGUCCCUGGGACGGUCAUGAGAGGACGAAAAAGUUGUCGGCAAACGAAACCGGAAGCUGGUCGUUCGAAGUAGAAGACACAUCCGACGAUGAGAAUAGUAUCACGUCACAAGUGAAACUCUUUGACAGCCGACGAUGCUUUACGGAAUCGGAGUCAAUAACCGGUUCAAUCGUUAACAAAGAGAAUUCAACGGAUGUUCCAGGUGACUGCCUUGGGAUUGAGUCGGUUGAGUGCCAGUGCCAGGACCUUAAACGUACUUCAAACUUCAGCGUGAUGACCCAUGUGGAAGACCUUAAAAUGGUUGUGAACUGGAAUGUGGUACAAAGUCCGAAGGCGGCACCGGUCGAACCAAAGCUUGUUAAGAUAUCAUUAGACGACCACGAGCGACGAAACAUUCUAACCAAAACGGCGCAGUGGAACGAACACCCUAUUCAACUGAACAUUGCUCAAACAGGGGUAGCUGGUCCGAUGGUAAUCCUAAGGACAACCAUGGUUGAUGCAGAAGGAUGCGAAAUUAAUGCGCUACCUUUGACUGUUCUGAUGCCCCAGUCUACAUCAUUCGAGGAUUCUUGGUAUCAGCCGACAUUUUCUAUGGUCGCGGGGAAAAAAACUAGAAUCGGAACUUUGCCUAGAGGCUGCUUGUAUGAUCGAAACUGCAACUACGCCUGCCCCAAAUCCACGCCACGAGAAGUGAACGAUAGCGAAAAUAUCACUCCUUCAGUUUCUUUUUCGGAUGCUGAUUGGAUUGAGUAUCAACAAGCUAAGACAUGGAUUAGGCACCACGAAGACGAAUGGGCAGCUGUUAUGCAAAAAUGGGCAUCUACGAGCUCUUUCCGCUUAUAUGAACUGUCGAAGUUGAGAAUAAGAUCAAGUGAAGCUGUUCUGGAACAUUUUCCGACACUCAGGAAAUCCGACGGGUAUCAACUGGCACGUAUCGAUUUUGACUCGAAGUUCCGUACAAAGAACUCAGCGCUUUUCGACAAAUGGAAUGGGUUUAUUGCAUCGAUUAAACCUAUUCUUCUAGCAGAUGUAACUGACAAGUCUGGGAAAGAGAUCCUGAAAUUGCUGGAAGCUGAACUGAAUGAGGAUUGUCGAGAUGUUGUAUACUCGUUGCUGUUGCCGUACAUUUUACCAUGCGCUGUUGUGAAUCUUCCGAAUAAAUCAAAGUGGAAACCAAGUUACAUCGAAAACCGAAACAGCUUUGUUUUCUGGGUGCAGAACAUAACGGACGUUCAACCGAAGGUAGAAGCCUUCCAGAAUGCACGCUCUAAGAGUAGAGGAAUGCCUUCGUGCCCUUUGGUAAUCGUUGUUGGACCUGAAUUAUCUAAACUGAACUUCUUCAUCGUAUCGUUUGGAGAUGUGUUCUACCAGCUUCCUACUUUUCUGAAGGCGUUAGACAUCUGCUAUAAGCUUCACAAAGUCUACAACUUGGAGUUUGCUGCGGAAUGUAGUGGACCUUGGAAUCUUCUCGAUCACGUCAUCUAUGAGUUCCCGCUUGGAACCGCUUGUCGGGCGAAAGUGCUUUCGAUCCACAAUGUGAUCAACGCUAGAUGUUAAAUAUGUUACGCUGUCCGUCAUCAUGCUGUCGAUGGGAGGGUAGUUCAAUUCCUCAAUAUCUUCGCCACGCUGAACGAAUGCAUGACCCACUACUAGGAUACAUGUGUGUAAAACAUUGCGGUCGAGUCCUUUCUUCGAUUACUAGCUUGCGAAAACAUAUAAUAUCUUGUACAAACAAUGUUAUAACUGAAUACAACCGCACCGAAACUACAGUUGAUAAUAUAGAACAAACACACAGUACUAUUGAUGACAACAGCAAACGAAAAGACGAGGACAAACAUAGAAGUAUUUCCAUAGAAAAUAAUUCAACUGAAAUUGAAAGAAAGAAUGAUACAAGCGGUUACAAUGAUCCCACGAAAACAAAAACUGUUGAUGCAAAAAAAUUAAGCAUGGCCAUGACGUUAAAGUGGCUAAGCGAAAACGGAUUAGCACGGAAAGUGGCAUUCGAAAUCAAUAAGGAUAUAAAAGAGAACAUCAUCGAACCCCUAGGCUCAGUAAUUGAUGAGCUAGAAAAAGCGGGAGCUAUGACUAGUACGUGUAAGGAGUUGCUUUUCACUACACUUGGAAGCUACGAUUGUACAUCAGAGUACAGAUGUAUACAGCAACUAAAGAAGGAAGGAUUUUACAACGAUCCAAUAUUCAUCACUAUUAAUGGGGAGCAACUGUCACAGUCUGCUGAAGCGCUUUCAGAAUCGGGCCAUGAACAAGUUCAAGGAGUGUUGAUGCCAGUAAAGUUCAUGCUACAAACCUAUUUGGAGAGCGAUGGAGUAUUCGAUACCAUAAUGAAUAGUUUGAAGCUGUCUAAUGAUGGUGUGAUCCGCUCUUUGAUUGAUGGUUCUAUUUGGCAAGAGAGGACUUCAGGAAUGUGUUGUAGCACCGUGAUCCCCAUUAAUAUCUAUUUCGACGAUUUUACCACCGGCGAUACAUCAUCUUGUCAUUCAAAAUCCACUUCUAUUUGCGCCAUAUACUUAAAUAUACCUUGUAUGCCGGCUUAUUUGUUAGGAAAAUUAAGUAACAUAAUAACCGUAGGGUUCAUAAAAACCGAAGACAGGAAAAAGUAUAGCAAUGAUAAAACACUUUGCCAGUUGAUAGACUUAUUAAUCAAUUUGGAGGUAGAAGGCAUCACAGUUAAAGUUGACGGAGCAGACAAAAAAGUGUUUUUUGUACUAGGAUUUGUACUUGGCGAUAAUUUAGGUGUAAACGGAGUGUUGAAUUAUGUUGAAAGUUUCAGAGCUAA